rnacentral:rRNA from 1 species
GAUGAACGCUAGCGGCAGGCCUAACACAUGCAAGUCGAACGGUAACAUGGAUUGCUUGCAAUCUGAUGACGAGUGGCGCACGGGUGCGUAACGCGUAUGCAAUCUACCUUUUACAGGAGAAUAGCCCAGAGAAAUUUGGAAUAAUGCUCCAUAAUAUCAUUUAUCAGCAUUGGUUUAUGAUUAAAGCUCCGGCGGUAAAAGAUGAGCAUGCGUUCUAUUAGCUAGUAGGUGAGGUAACGGCUCACCUAGGCUACGAUAGAUAGGGGCCCUGAGAGGGGGAUCCCCCACACUGGUACUGAGACACGGACCAGACUCCUACGGGAGGCAGCAGUGAGGAAUAUUAGACAAUGGGCGAAAGCCUGAUCUAGCCAUGCCGCGUGCAGGAUGACGGCCCUAUGGGUUGUAAACUGCUUUUAUACAGGAAGAAAAAACUCUACGUGUAGAGUCUUGACGGUACUGUAAGAAUAAGGAUCGGCUAACUCCGUGCCAGCAGCCGCGGUAAUACGGAGGAUCCAAGCGUUAUCCGGAAUUAUUGGGUUUAAAGGGUCCGUAGGUGGACAAUUAAGUCAGAGGUGAAAUCCUGCAGCUCAACUGUAGAAUUGCCUUUGAAACUGGUUGUCUUGAGUCAUUAUGAAGUGGUUAGAAUGUGUAGUGUAGCGGUGAAAUGCAUAGAUAUUACACAGAAUACCAAUUGCGAAGGCAGAUCACUAAUAAUGUACUGACACUGAUGGACGAAAGCGUGGGUAGCGAACAGGAUUAGAUACCCUGGUAGUCCACGCCGUAAACGAUGGUCACUAGCUGUUCGGACUUCGGUCUGAGUGGCUAAGCGAAAGUGAUAAGUGACCUACCUGGGGAGUACGUUCGCAAGAAUGA